AACCCAAUCUCAAAAGUCCAAACAAAGCAUCAACUGCGCCCUUACGGCCCUACCCAGCCCAGGUCGGGUUUCCCAAUCCAGCCAUCUCGUCGGCCGCAUCCAGCCCCCGCCGUCGCCGGCCCCGCGCCCUUCUCCUCCGGUUCAUCCCAACUCCGAGGCCACCCCCGACGAGCGAACGCCCAUGACGGAGGAAGGCACUCCCAGGGCCUCCGGCGAGCCCACCGCCGCGACCAAGCAGAGGAAAAAGAGGAAGUGGGAUCAGCCCGCAGAGGACAUUGUCUCCGCGGCGGCCGAAGCCGCUGCGGUGGCGGGACUGCCGGUGUUGAACUUUGGGGCUCUGUCCGGCGUUCAAUUUCCUGGCAUUACCACGUAUCCCGCCGCCCCGUUGCCAAAUGCAAUCCCUGCUCCCUAUGCUUUGCCGCCUCAGCUCACGCCUUCGGUGCUUCAGAGUGCUGCUGCUGCGGUUCAGAAACUAAGUCAGGCAAAAAUACCAGAUGAGCUCAUAGCACGAGAAAUAGUUAUAAAUGACGCUGAUCCAUCUGUGCGGUAUAAGCUCACAAAACGGCAAACACAGGACGAGAUUCAGCGAUGCACUUGCACUGUCAUCAUUACCAGGGGAAAAUACCAUCCUCCAAACGGACAGCCUGAUGGUGAGAAGCCACUCUAUCUACAUAUCUCUGCAGGAUCUCAGCUGAAAGAUACUGCAGAGCGCAUUAAAGCAGUUGAUCGUGCAGCGUCAAUGAUUGAGGAAAUCUUGAAACAAGGCCAAAUGCCAGAAACAACAUCAACCCAUUUCCCUUCAAUCCAGAGCAACAAACAGGCUGUUCAUCCUUUUAGUGCCUCGAUUUUUUUGGGUUUUGAUGCAGAUCCAUCAUUAAAUGUUGCUGCUCGCAUCCGUGGUCCAAAUGAUCAGUAUAUAAAUCACAUCAUGAAUGAAACAGGGGUAACUGUUUCACUGAGAGGAAAAGGUUCAGGGAAUAUGGGCGGUUGUCAUGCUGAAGCAUCACAACAACCUCUGCACAUGUACCUAUCAAGUGUGCAUUUGAAGAGCCUAGAAGCUGCAAAGGUUUUAGCAGAAAACCUUCUAGAUACAAUAGCAGCCGAAUUUGGUGCUUCCAGAAUUUCUUCUUCAAAAGUAUAUGGUGCUGUUCCACCGCCACAGCAGUUGUUGACUGGUGUGCACACCUCUGUAACAACACCAGAUGUACACUCUACUUUAGGGCCUUAUGGGUCAACAGGAGCAGCACAUUCUUAUGCACCUACUGGAGUUACUUCUCCCAUGGCGGUUCCUUCAACGACACUUCAAUCUGGCUUUCCAACUUAUUCUGGGAUUCCACCACCUAGUAACCUGGUCUAUCCUAGUCAAGCAGCAAACGGUGGGACAUUGUACAAUGGCUAUGGAGGCAUUUAUCCUCAAGCAACUCCACUGCAGCAGGUGUCAUUAACACUCAAGCAUGCUUCAUCGUCGACAACUCAGGUUGUUCCAGUGGUAUCUACAUCAACAAGCAUGGCGACAGAGGUAAACUCAAGUGCAAAGUUGGAGUCAGAUAAACGCUUUCAAAGGAGGAAAUUCCAGGAGCUGCCAAUACCGGACCUUCAGGUAUUUUCUCUGACCAUGUCUGAAGCUCACAGGGUGGUAACAGUGGUUUCAUUUUUUUCACAGGGUUUAUUGCAAGUUGGAGUUUGCAGUUGCAAUGGGGGUUUAGCUGAUAAGAUGCAGUGUUAUUCUUCUUGUGAAUUGGAUGAUUGCUUUUAUUGUCUUGUUGUUAGUGCAAAGUGCUCCCUCCGAUCCUAAAUUCUUGAACUAAAACAACGACAACGACAAUUUUAACUAAAACAACGACAAGAAUUUAGGAUCAGAAGGAGUAUUGUUUUAGUCCUCGCAAUGAAUGUGUUGCUGGCUGCAUGCAGAUUUAAUUAAUAGCAAUUAGCAUUGCUACCAUACCUUUGAAUUGUUGGCUGAUUUAGUUUUCUAAUACUUAAUAGGUUUUGGUAUAAUCUAGUUAGGCAUCACUAUCUUCCUCUGAAAAAUGGGCUCUUUCUACAUUUUGAAAAUUUCUUCUUUUAGUCACAACUACAAGUGGUACUACUAGAGUACUAAUGUGCAAAAUAGGAUUAAUAUUUUUUAUACAGAACCUCUUAGCUCAAUGAACCAGAGUUUAGUUGUAUUUUAGUUGUAUUUUUUGGGGGGCUUUAUAGACACUUGCUGAUGCUUUCUUUAUUUUCUUAAUGGUACAAAUUUUGCAAAUAUGAAAGCCAUACCUAUUAAUUAGGAGGUUGCCCUGUUCGAACUUGCUUUAUCGGCAUCCUUACUAGUAUUGUGCUUCCAUACAAUACAUGGAUUCAUGCAUUUGUGCUGUUUAUGCAGGGUGUUCAUUUCAUCCUUCUUUUGCAUUUUAUUAUCAUGAUAUAAAUUUGAUGGGGAAGUGUUCUUUUGUUUCAUCUUUCCAGAACUCACAACAGGGGUCCAAAUUUGUUAAGACAGGUUUAGAUGAUUUAGGUAAAAUGAGCAGUCCAUCAGCCACACCUAAAACAAAAGUUCAGCCUGGAUCGAAUGUGAUGUUUCCACAUGAUCUACAGCAUAUGCCAUCACAUCUGUCUGUAUCUACUGGCAUGUCACCGCCACCUCCACCACCGAAGAACAUGUCACCACCAUCUUCCAAGAACAUGCCGCCUCCACCACCCAAGAGCAUGCCUCCGCCCCCACCAAAGUUCCCUUCAAAUGAAGUGUUAAGAAAUGAGAGUAGGCAUUCAGCUGUGAAGGAGCCGAUGGCACCUCCAAGAUCCUUGGACGUGAGUUCAGUCUCACCACCAAAGUCUUGGUCAGCUCAAUUACCUUCAAAGGACCCUAGAGAGGAAAAGCCAAGCAGUGCAUCUGUUUCUGAAACUCUGCUGAAGCUUAUGGAUUAUGGCGAUGAUGACGACGACGACGACGAUGAUGACAUUGAUGAGACGGAUAGUGUGCCUGGAGGGAAUACAACUCCCAGUCCAGGGCAGAAACCAUUUUGGUCUGUGUGAAAAUGAGUGUUUUGUACUGUAGUCUGUAGUGUGAAUUGGAAUGCAGGUAGAUAAUCUUACCUGUCCUGACACAUCUUCUCAAUGCAUCAUCUAGUCAUUGAGGUUGUUGUUUUGUACCAGUGUCUACAGGUCAACAGAUAUCCCUGAUCCAGAUAUAUGCCACCUUCCUAUCUGAAGACAUUUGAGCUCUUGAUCAUCAUUCCUUCAAAGUGAUUACUUGUGUUUAA